rnacentral:rRNA from 1 species
AACGAACGCUGGCGGCAUGCCUAACACAUGCAAGUCGAACGAGACCUUCGGGUCUAGUGGCGCACGGGUGCGUAACGCGUGGGAACCUGCCCUUAGGUUCGGAAUAACUCCCCGAAAGGGGUGCUAAUACCGGAUAAUGUCUUCGGACCAAAGAUUUAUCGCCUUUGGAUGGGCCCGCGUUGGAUUAGCUAGUUGGUAGGGUAAAAGCCUACCAAGGCGACGAUCCAUAGCUGGUCUGAGAGGAUGAUCAGCCACACUGGGACUGAGACACGGCCCAGACUCCUGCGGGAGGCAGCAGUGGGGAAUCUUGGACAAUGGGCGAAAGCCUGAUCCAGCAGUGCCGCGUGAGUGAUGAAGGCCUUAGGGUUGUCAAGCUCUUUUACCCGGGAUGAUAAUGACAGUACCGGGAGAAUAAGCUCCGGCUAACUCCGU